rnacentral:tRNA from 1 species
GCCCAGAUGGCGGAAUGGCAGACGCGCUAGCUUCAGGAGCUAGUGGGAGCAAUCCCGUGGAGGUUCGACUCCUCUUCUGGGCACCA